GGGGAAGCGAAGCAAGGUCAAAGAAGAUGAUAUCAAUAGAAUAUCUCCAAAUAGCACAGAAUGCAGCAAGAAGUAGCGGCAGAUGUCAGUCCAGCCCCGUGUCAACCCCCGUGGAGCUCUGUAGAAAGACUUGGAAAGAAACAGCAUUGCUGCAGUUGGCAUUAAGAGAAAGAGACAGCGAAUGAUACCUUUCUCCCCAGGAGCUGAAGGACCUGACUCGCCACAGCAUCAUGUCCUUUCUGACUGGCCCCAUUCAAGCUUCCUGGGGUUUCUUAUUUGUUUGUUUGUUUGUUUGUUUGUUUGUGAUGCCCCUUUAUUUCAGAUUUCCACUCUCCUCUUUUCCUCUUCCAGGCUCCCGCCUGCCAAUUCUGACUUUGAUCCUUACUCUACUGGCUGUUUCUUACCUAUGCUGCCAGGUACCUGCUUCCAGAUGCUUGCCCUGGCUUCAGCCAUGUUCCAGGACCAAUGAUGCAUCAGUAGGAGGAUAUAUUCACUGCAGUACUAAAAAAAAAAAUCCCCAUCGUGAAUUUAGACAUUGCUGGCAGGGAUUGACUUUCAUAACUGUGGAGGAAAGCCAAAACUGCAUAAAGGAAGUCUGUUUGCAGAGUUCAUAUCCCUUAAUUUUAGUGAAUGGAUGUGGGUGUGUUGAAAACUUCAUCUUUUAAGAACUGCCUAAAUUUCAUAAUUAUUUCAUUUUCAUCCGCUCACAGAUGGUUUUGCCCUGAGUGUAAAAACUGAAGAGCCAAUAUAAAAUAAUAUAAAAGGAUGCUACCUUUCCACUGGCAGUUAAAAUUUAAAUUUCAAGCUUUACUUUUCAGAACCUUGGAGAGCACCAAGCCCAGGCCUCCAUUUCCCUCGCCCCAGCCAGCUCAAGCGUGGGAGGAUUUCUCUUGGAAAAAAAAAGAGUGGAGAGAAAGAGGAAAUAAUAAAUGAUAAGUUGACAGUGAGGCUUGUGAAUUCUACGACAGAAACACUGUCUGCAAUGGCCUAGUUUCAUACUAUACAAACUGAUGGAUGAUCUCACACUUCUGAGCCAUGACUUCUGUCACGUUGCAAAGGAUAUGCUCUUAAAUGGUCUCUCUGUGGCCUGAAACUCACCAAAUAGGCAAGACUGGCUGGCCAGUGAGACCAGAUAUCCUGUCUCUACCUCCCAUGUACUGGGAUUACAAGCAAAUACCCCCAUGUCCAGCUUUUUAAUAAAUAUGCCUUUGA
rnacentral:lncRNA from 1 species